GCCUACGGGGCGCAGCAGUGGGGAAUAUUGCACAAUGGGGGAAACCCUGAUGCAGCGACGCCGCGUGAAGGAUGAAGUAUUUCGGUAUGUAAACUUCUAUCAGCAGGGAAGAAAAUGACGGUACCUGACUAAGAAGCCCCGGCUAACUACGUGCCAGCAGCCGCGGUAAUACGUAGGGGGCAAGCGUUAUCCGGAUUUACUGGGUGUAAAGGGAGCGUAGGUGGCAUGGCAAGCCAGAAGUGAAAACCCGGGGCUUAACCCCGCGGAUUGCUUUUGGAACUGUCAGGCUGGAGUGCAGGAGGGGG
rnacentral:rRNA from 1 species